rnacentral:rRNA from 1 species
AACGAACGCUGGCGGCAGGCCUAACACAUGCAAGUCGAGCGCGCCCUUCGGGGUGAGCGGCGGACGGGUGAGUAACGCGUGGGAACGUGCCCUUCUCUGCGGAAUAGCCUCGGGAAACUGAGAGUAAUACCGCAUACGCCCCUUGGGGGAAAGAUUUAUCGGAGAAGGAUCGGCCCGCGUUGGCUUAGGUAGUUGGUGGGGUAAUGGCCCACCAAGCCGACGAUCCAUAGCUGGUUUGAGAGGAUGAUCAGCCACACUGGGACUGAGACACGGCCCAGCCUCCUACGGGAGGCAGCAGUGGGGAAUCUUAGACAAUGGGGGCAACCCUGAUCUAGCCAUGCCGCGUGAGUGAUGAAGGCCUUAGGGUUGUAAAGCUCUUUCAGCUGGGAAGAUAAUGACGGUACCAGCAGAAGAAGCCCCGGCUAACUCCGUG